rnacentral:rRNA from 1 species
UACGAAGGGGGCUAGCGUUGCUCGGAAUCACUGGGCGUAAAGGGCGCGUAGGCGGAUCUUUAAGUCGGGGGUGAAAGCCCAGGGCUCAACCCUGGAAUGGCCUUCGAUACUGGAGAUCUUGAGACCGGAAGAGGUAAGUGGAACUGCGAGUGUAGAGGUGAAAUUCGUAGAUAUUCGCAAGAACACCAGUGGCGAAGGCGGCUUACUGGUCCGGUACUGACGCUGAGGUGCGAAAGCGUGGGGAGCAAACAGG